rnacentral:snRNA from 1 species
GGAUGUGAGGGCAAUCUGGUUGUGGCAUGGACCACCCCACUGAUCACCGGGGUUGAUUCGGCUGAUCUGCCUGGCUAGGCGAGUGUCCCCUUCCUCCUUCACCACUCCAUGUGCUUCCCUCCCAAAGCUAUGUGCUCUGUUGUAGAGGACGACCUUCCCAGAACAGAGACUUACUGGUCUUUGGUCGAGAGUAUAUGAGAAGCUGUACUCCCCUGCUAGAACCUUCAAACAAUCUCAAGAAUAACUUGAAUUUUUAAUUUCAAUAAUAUAAUUUUGUUAAAAUUAAUAAGUAAAAUGACUUUCUACUCUUU